rnacentral:rRNA from 1 species
ACAGAGGGGGCAAGCGUUAUUCGGAAUUAUUGGGCGUAAAGGGCGCGUAGGCGGCCUGGCAAGUGGAUGGUGAAAUCCCUCGGCUUAACCGAGGAACUGCCAUCCAGACUGCUUGGCUUGAGACCGGGAGAGGUGAGUGGAAUUCCCAGUGUAGCGGUGAAAUGCGUAGAUAUUGGGAGGAACACCGGUGGCGAAGGCGGCCCCCUGGACCGGUACUGACGCUGAUGCGCGAAAGCGCGGGUAGCAAACGGGA